UUCGUUUCUCUUCCUUGAGCUUCUUUUUGGAGACUUUGGGUCUAUUGGCCUUUCUGUAUAGGUGAUACCCAAUGAGGCCCAGGAGGGCUGGCACCAUGGCCAUCCCUACCAGAGGCAAAAUGCCCUUCACCAGCUUUAGCCAGUAGUUGGCUCGGAUUAGUGCAAUCAGCUCCACGUCAUACUGCACCACUGCAUCCGCUGGAGAGGCAGAGGGGUGGAGAGGGUUAGACUCUCUGCAUUUUAUCCAGGGCUCAGAAUCUGAAUGAAAAUAGGGAGCGUAGGCCACAGCAAAGCCAACAACUAUGAAGCUGACAAGAUUUAAAUGUGGGCUUGAAUUCCUUUAGACAAGAGUAGAGGAGGAUUUACGAGCAGAGUCCAGUGAUAAUCAUGUUGACCCCAACUACACAUGUGGCUUGGGUCCAGUGACAAGUCUUUGAAUGCAGGAAAACUUUCUGUGAAUAUGAAAUGUACAGGCUCUUCUCCAUUUGUAAGUGGGAGAACCCUCUAUACUAACUACUAAUUUAUUGUAUUUCCAAAUAACCACACGGAUAGAGUCUUUGCAGGGCUGAAAUUAAAUGGAUUUAAACUAGACUUUAAAAAAUCAACCAACCAAUGAGCACAUUCAACGUGAUUAUGAGAUAACAGGAGUUUCAACAUAAGAGCUGAAGAGGAAGAAGGAUGAGGAUGCUGCUUAAGAAGUAAAGGGGCCUUCCUCUAAGCUGGAACUGGGAUAAGAAUUACGAGCCCAGCCAGGCGCGGUGGCUCAUGCCUGUAAUCCCAGCACUUUGGGAAGCCAAGGCAGGUGGAUCACCUGAGGUUGGGAGUUUGAGACCAGCCUGACCAACAUGGAGAAGCCCCAUCUCUACUAAAAGUAUAAAAUUAGCUGGUCGUGGUGGCGCAUGCCUGUAAUCCCAGCUAGUCGGGAGGCUGAGACAGGAGAAUCGCUUGAACCCAGGUGGCGGAGGUUGUGGUGAGUGAAGAUUGCACUAUUGCACUCCAGCCUGGGCAACAAGAGUGAAACUCCAUCUCAAAAAAAAAAAAAGAAGAAUUACGAGCCCAAUACUCUGUGGAGUACAACACAUUUUAGCUAAUAGAACAUUUGUUAGAACUGAAAGCAAAAGAUAUGCAUCUUGGGAAAUCUGUCCAUCUCAACCCUUCAAAAAUAGACAUCGGCAGUGACCAAUGAUGGCUUUUAAAGUUAUGGGGCAGACUUGGCUUUAACAGUUGCUUUUUGUUUUGUUUUGAAUCACUUGACUGUGAUUAUUUUUACUGUCUCUUCCCUGAUGGAGGCUGAAAGGAAGGGGUGGGGGGGUGGCUGUACAGCUG
rnacentral:lncRNA from 1 species